UCCUAUGUUUGGUUCAUGGUAUUGCUAAUACCAUUGUAAUCGGUUACUGACUUAAUCGGUGGAUUUCACCGAUUUGUAAUCCUUCCAUUUUGCUCAGAUUAAGCGCCGCAUAGGUUUACCAUCCCUGUUAUACCCUCCCAUCUGCUUCCCCUUUGUUUCUCUUCUGUUCCUUGUUGCCUCUGCCGAUUUGCUCCCUUCCAUUUCUUUUCUUUUCUUUUCUGCCCUCUGUUUAUUUUCUUUUCUUUUCUACUGAUUUGCUCCCUUUGUUUCUUCUCAUUUUCUUUUCUGCCGAUUUCCGAUUUAGUGCAACAGAAAGGUUAUGUGUGAUCUAUUUUCGGAACUAUAAAGAGUUAAUCUCCAAUUGAAAGGAAAUUGCAUAGUACCAUUCUGAAUUUGAUCAUGGGAACUACGUUCUGGUUUUAUCACAAACAUCUUAUAUCCAUCUCAUUUAAGGAAAGCUAUUUGCUAAUAAUGUUGAUUGAGACUGUAUGUUAUUUGUUGUAGCUCAAAGAACUAGAUGUCUAUCAUCAGUCGGGUAAUUCAAAGAUUCCUACAAUUGAAGAUGCUUUGAAGUUGAUAUCAACAUCAGUUCGGCAGGUGAUUCUAGAUGCCAAGGUGGGGCCUCCAUCAUAUGAAAAGGGGCUUGCAAAUGAUAUUUUUUCCACUAUGAGUUAUUUUGCCUCUCUUCCCUUGUUUUGAUUUCUUUUAAAUUUUGAUUUAGAAAUGUGUUAAUGCGGCAUUAGGCAAUACACUUAUCUUCUAAAAUUUCAGGUUGAGAAGAUGCAAUGUACUAAGCAAGUCCUUUGUGGUAAGAGACUGAGUUUGCGUGCGUGACUGAUGCUCUUUGACUUUAGGGUGUUAUUUAUGGACUAACAUGGAAGUAAAACUAGUUUCAUGCAUUAAUCAGAUGGUCUUACUUAGGAGUCUGGCCAUGCAAGUGACAGUUCGAUGAGGUUUUGAUCCAGCAAGAACCAUAAUUUCUUUGUGAACCAUCUCAGGAUAGGUUGUUAUUAGUUUUGCUCUUCAUGAUGCCUUCCUUGCAUUGGCCUCAACUCUAAGCGUGAUUAAAUAGAAAAUUUUGAAGAGCUUUUCCAUGAUGCACUUUGCUUGAUGAGUCUGCUUGUGUGAAUAAAACAGUUGCAUCCUGAGUUUCGCUAUAAAACAGAGUUUCAGAGCCACGAACCUGAGGUAUUUAUGCUUGGUUUGUGGUAGACAUAAACAUAAUGAUUAUUGGGAGUACAUGCUAAAAACUUUCUGGACUUGAAUAUUGAAAACGUGUACACCCUUGGUUUAAUACAAUUUGACUAUCUGAAGAGCUUGGAAAUUGAGGAGAAAAUUAACAAAAUUAGGUGGUGCCAGUCAUCUAAUGGUGCUCUUUUUCUUUUGUCGACAAAUGACAGAACAAUAAAGUUAUGGAAGGUACAAGAGAAGAAAGUCAAAAAAGUAUGUAACAUGAACGUGGACUCAACCAAAGCCAUGGGAAAUGGUCCUAUUGUUGGUUCAAGUAUAUCAACAAGCUCCAAACAAUACAUUGCAAAUGGAGGAUGCACAAGCAAUGACUUCUCAUUACC